GCGUCUGCGCAUGCGCCUCAGCCCUCACAGCAGCCGGGCCCACCUUGUGCUUCCGCUGAUGGCGCUUCGGCCCUGGGCACCAUGGGCCCGCCUUGUGCGUCCAGGGACAAUGUCUGAGCCCUUGGCGCCAUGGAACCGCCUCGUACAUCUGCGCAGGUGCCUCAGCCCUCACAGCAGCCGGGCCCGCUUCGUGUGUCCGCGCAUGCGCCUCAGCCCUCAUCCAGCUGGGCCUGCCUCAUGCGUCCGCACAUGCGCCUCAGCCCUCACAGCAGCCGGGCCCGCUUCGUGUGUCUGCGCAUGCGCCUCAGCAGUCAGCGCCAGGGCCCGCCUCGUGCGCCCGCGCAGGCCUCCCUGCCCGGGUCCCUCGGGGCGCUGACCCAGUUCUCCCGGCCCGCAUUGGCCGAGGCGCUGUGCGUCUGCCGCCGGCCCGCGGGGGACACGCAGCGGGGAUCCCGCACCCCCAACGGCAGGCCCGGGGAGCUGCGGCCGUGGACACACUCCAGAAACAAACAGCAAACAACCCAAGGGCGGCUCACGUACUAAUUAUCAGUGACUGUGCAAACCUCCCCAAAGCAUCCCUUCCAUAACCCCUGGAAAAAUUCUGACAUAUUAUAAACUGUUUGAAUUAGCACAAAUCAGUAAACAACAAAUUGGUGCCAGCCAGGAACGAGAGAACGCCGUGCAUACUGAGCGACUGAGUUCAGCAGCAUUCAGCGCAGCGCCCGCUCCGAUAAUUCAGCUUGAGACGUUUGUGACUUCCCGGGACGCAGAGGGCAGGCGGGAGGCACUUCAGCCAUCCCAGAGGAGAGCAGGUCUGGCGCAGUCCCAUGUUUAGGGCAUGUGAGUGUGUGCAUCCAUGUGUGUGCACAUGCGUGCGAUGUGUCGGAAAUCCCUGUAGAGCCACAGAGAGACACAGCCAUGCCCAGUACAGCAGAUUCUGUUUUCUGUAUUUUUCAAUACAGCAACUCUAAGUAGUGAGGGAUAGUAGUUAUAAUUAAGGCGCACAUAUGGCCCCACUAUAAUUCCUCAUGGUAAAAGUACAAUCAGGUCAAGCAGUAGGCUGGAGUAGGUUUAAAUAGUGAAGGGAAUCUUUUUAAAGAGGAGUGUGUACAUUAGUGGAUGUUAGAUUUCCUUCAGUAUUUAGACCCACUAUAACACUGAAACUUUCUUGUCCUGGUUAAAAAAAAAUUCAAACCAAGCGUCCAUUAUUCAUGUAGGCCAGCAAAGCUUCACGUACACUUCCAUUUAUUUGACGAUUUUUGCUGAAAGUAAUUGGGUUUAAAUGCAUCCUGAGAGAUUCAGCUUCGCGACAAUCUUUUGAAAAUGGCGUCUGCCAAGUGCACCAGCAGCAGGGGCGCUGCCCCAGCAACCUCCUCACGUUUGACUGUCCUGGGCCGAAGCACAGGAGCCGGGGGACUGCCCUGAACUUGAGGGGAGUCUGCACCUAUGGCUGUGAGGCCUGCUCGUGGUUUUGGCCGGUGCCUUCCUGAAUAGCCAAACUCUGACUCAACCAAGGAAAGGCACAGAUUCAUACAAAGGGCUGAACGGAUCGAGGGUCCACAGACGUAAUCGGGUAAGAAAAGAUGGGAGAAAGCGUCCCAGGAGGAAACCUCAAGUGACUUUUAGAAAGGAAUUCCCGUGCCCAGAGAACGGAGGCGUUUCCAUCUCGCAAGCUCAGGAACACACAGGUCCCUGCGGGGGAGGCCCUGGCGGGGCCUGGGAAGCCGCAGGGCUGCACAUCUGCAGAGGUCACUGGCGCUGAACAGACGAUGGGUGCAGACAUAUGGUUUAAUCACAGUGUACGUAAGCUUUCUUAUCUGCUUAGGAAUUCCUUUCUCCUCUAAUCUGAUUCAUUGUUACUCUAAUUGGAGUCAGUUUGUCUUCCUAAAGGAGACACAUACGUGUGUGUGUGUGUAUACACAAAUAUUCAGAUUAAUACAGCAGAUUGUUCACAGUGUCCCAGACGGCCCCACAGGCUGCCCGUGGGCUGUCGGCAGAGCCUGUCCACGUGUGACUUUGCAUGCAGACGGGCAAGCGUGGGCAGCGUCUCGGCGAGGCCCCAUGGCGGCGGCCGCGUAAUCCUCAGAGGAAGAUAAUGAAAGCGGCAGAAGGGCCCUGUGAUUUGGAUCUUGACGUUAUUAUGUGUGUGUCAGUGCGGCUCUCUAUUUCCCUAAAACUCUGCUUUAUCGUUAGGCCUGACAAGUCCCUUAUUUUUAGAACAGAUUGAAGGCAGCGAUAGGAACUGAGAUGGAGCAAGGUCGCCGGCCAGGCCAUCAUAUUUCUAUUGUGCUGCUGCGGUCGCCACCACGUGCGUGGACUCUGGGUCUGGGCGGCGACAUCGGGACAGGAGCAGGCACUGAGCCAGCUGGGCUCCCUGGGCCCCGUGUCCCUGUGUGGCACAGAGACACUCAACACUGAGAGCUGCUCCCUCCCCCAACCCCCACUUCAUCAAGCAACAGCAAGAAGUCCCGCGUGGGCAGCUGUGUCACAUGUGUGCUUAUGUGUGUGACGUCUGUGCUCCGAGGCACAGUGGCUGACCUGCCUGGACGUGCUGCUUUCAGAGGCGAUGUCACGGCCCCCAGAUGCACUUCCUGCAGCCCAACCCGGCACCUGUCCCUUCUCAGAUGUUUCUGGCUCAGAAGCGGGCAUGGAGCCCCACUUUCACGUGUAGGGAUGGCAAGGCCUGGAUGCAUGGGCAACGCAAGAGCAGGCAAGAUGCACAUACCCGCUGCACGCCAGGUGCCCGGGAAGCGUCAGCAGCCUGUGUGGUCUCAGAGAUCUGUGGGGAAGCUGGACAGAGCCACCUGCCCUGGAAGGGCGUGGCCAGAGCCCUCAGCAAGAUUGCGCUGCAAAAGCAGAGACCUGUGCUGACCCAGGGACCCUGCAGUGGGGGGCGGCAAGGGAGACAGCACUGGGCAGGGACCGCAGGGCGGGGACACGCGGGAGCAAGGCCCCAAGAGCAGGCCCUGUCGCUGCCCUGCGUGGUGGGCCUCUCCUGCUCGCUCGCACAGAGCGUGGAAUCCACGGAGUCCCAGGUGCCCACGCUCCAUGGCCAUGGCCCUGCCGGUGGUCAGGUGGCUCCAGCUCACCUUUCCCAGCUGUGUCCCCAGGACUGGCCAAAGUGUUUCACCUGCUCUGCCUCACUUGCUCCAUGCCUGGUCCCUCCCACCCUGGUCACCGCCGAGCCUGAAGGCCAGGAAAUGCUGGCAGAAUGAAUGAUUAGGCAACAGAGGUUUGCAAAAUGUAAAGGUGCAGGGUGUGAGGUUCACGUAAAAAUCCCUCAUACAAUACAGAUGCCUUCUCAUUGUCAUCCUAAAUAGAAUGGAGAGCUAACUCGUCCCAGGGAGAACAAGCAGACAGUGACAUGAGCCGUGUGGGAUGCACACAGGUGUGGGCGCGUGACUGGCACAUGGAUGAAGGAAUGCCUGGCUGAGCUGGAACGGAUUCCCCAGAGUCCCGGGGCACCAGCGAGGGCUGUCGGACUGUGGAAGCCGUGCUGAUGCUGGGCCUGGGGAGACCCGAGCAGGCGUCCGUACUCUCGCCCGAUGCCCAGACAGCGCGGCAGCGGUGAGCCCCAGGCAGGACGGCUCCAGCGGAGCCCCAGACAGAGCCAGCCUCACCUGCGGAACCUGCAGCCACAAGGCUGGCGCUCUGAACAGGAACUAAACAGCUUCUUGUAGAUUAAAACUGAUAGAGAUUCUUCAAGAACACAGUUUCCAUUUGUCGAUUUGUCCUUGUAGAAUGUUUUCCCUGGAAUUGCAUAAAUUUAUUCAGUAUUCAGAGUUUCGUAGGGAACCAAGGUCUACGUGGAUGCUGUUAUAAUUAUAUGCCACAGGAGAGGUUAGCAGAAGACAUCGGCAGGCCAAUCAUAGCUGCACGCUAGGAGCCAGCAGAGCCCGGGAUUACCCAUCUCUCCCUUUCCAGGCAGAGCCCCGUGCCACUGACCCGGGACGCCGCAGGCUGUGUGUGCCAUUCGUAGCUUCUGCUGUCGGUCUCUCUUAGAAAAAGGUCUGCUUUGAUGAGGCAAAAGUGGAUGGAAUGGGCAUCCGUGACAUCUGUCUCGUCAGCAAACAGGAAUGGUUUCAGGGACAGCCAAGUACGGGCAGAAACUCUGGCCCAAGCAGGUGUACCACUGGUGAAGGCGCCAGGGCUGCAGAGGCUGAGGGCUGCCUUGUGCUUGACACAGUCGUCCGCAUCCUCUGACUUCCAAGCGAAAAAGAAGCGACUUCUGAUAAGAGCUGCGAGGGGGCCAGGCUGCACGCAGACACUGCUGGCUCCGAGGACGCUGAGCCCUGCGCCACUCUCCCUUCCACUUGAUCACAGGCAGCAUACUCACAUUUUCCUAAGUGGUUUCGGUAUUGAUCGAUUGAUUUCAAACUCAUUUUACAGAAAUCUUCCUGGCUAAUUAGAUGGCUUCUGUAGCCGACCACCCUGCUUUUCGUUCAUAACUUGGACUGGGGGUGCUGCUAAGUUCUGAACGCCGCCUUCCAGGCAGCCAAUCAGAAGCCGGCGAGGGCUUGGGGGCCAGGAGCCGUAGCUGAGCUAAGAUGUCUUCUUGGCAUCCAAGUAAAUAAUGGAGACGGAUAAAUGACAUUGACUGAAUCAAGAUGAAAUACAUUUCUGAGUCUGUGUCAGCCUAGCUCGCACCUGGAGACGGAGGUGAAAUUGAUCAGCUGGUCGCCAUUCAGACGCAGAGGGCCAAUUUUGGAGGUCACUGGUGCUUUAGUUAAUAGCAGGCUUUAAAACGAUAGGACAAGAAAAAUAAAAGCCCCAGUCCAUCACCCUAUGGCUCCAUCCCCCACACCCCGACAAGACGCCGCAGGUCCGUGCAAGCCGGGUUCAGGGCCGACUGGAAGCUGCGUAAGAAAUGUUUAGGAGAGUCUUUCAUUGGCUUACGGUAGAGAUUCUUCUCGAUUUUCCGCACGUGUCUGUGCAUGCGUCUCAUGACACAGGCAAGCAGAAGCCUCUGGGACUGUGGGCGUGGAAGGCAGCACAGGGAGGCCGUGCCUGUGGCUGAGGCGCCGCAUGCGGGGCCUCCAUGUCUGGGGAGCAUGACCGACACAGCUUCCCCGGAGAUGCAGUUUUCCCCCUCUGAACUGUAACCCUGGCAGGGGUGCUCCUGGGGGCGUCUCCAGAUAGGGCGGUGGUGAGGGCCAGCCCUGACGAAGGCCAGAGCCGAGUUAGGCGCUGCUCCUGACCCCAGGCCCAGGCAUGUGCUGUGGCCCCACUGUGCUCGUCACACUCCAGCUCCUGCCCAGCCACAUUUUCCAUUGUGCUGGAAAGACAGGAGAAUUCUGUUCUCUGUCUGACCUCCACAUUCCCAUCACAACAGAACACAGCAUCGUUCUAGUGGGACCCCAGGUGGGCCUUGGCCAGGCCUCUGGCACAGUGCUGGCUCCCAGACCCCGAGCCUCCGUUGUCCCCCUGCCCCAACCGCGACGUCACCCACAGCCAGCCAUGAUUGUGCCCAGUGGAUUCUGAGGCUCAGCCUGCAGGGAGAAGCAGUGUCGCUCGCCCGAGUCUGGGCUGCGUUCUGGUGCUGGCGCAGCUCCUCCACUUUCUCCCGUGCUUCCUGGUGGGGGCCGAGGACUCUGACCACCCUCGGAUGGAGCAGGUGCCAGCCACCUCUGCAGGUGUUUCCUAAGCACGGCCGAAUCCCAAGAGUGGAAGGGAGACACAGGCCAGAAAGAGCCCCUCCCCCAUUUUCCACUUUUUCCCAGCCCUGCCCCUGUUUGGGAUCCUGUGAGGCAUCUCUGGAGAGACAAAGCCAGGACAUGUGAUGUAGCAGGAGAACGGGAGCUGCUGGCUCAUGCGUCCUGGGUCCUGCUGCCUGCACACACAGGUUCUGACACACAGGUCCUGCACACACAGCUCCCUGCAUCCUGCACACACAGGUCCUGACACACAGGUCCUGCACACACAGCUCCCUGCAUCCUGCACACACAGGUCCUGACACACAGGUCCUGACACACAGGUCCUGACACACAGGUCCCUGCAUCCUGCACACACAGGUCCUGACACACAGGUCCUGACACACAGGUCCUGCACACACAGCUCCCUGCAUCCUGCACACACAGGUCCUGACACACAGGUUCUGACACACAGGUCCUGCACACACAGCUCCCUGCAUCCUGCACACACAGGUCCUGACACACAGGUCCUGACACACAGGUCCCUGAGUCCUGCACACACAGGUCCUGACACACAGGUCCUGACACACAGGUCCCUGAGUCCUGCACACACAGGUCCUGACACACAGGUCCUGACACACAGGUCCCUGAGUCCUGCACACACAGGUCCUGACACACAGGUCCUGACACACAGGUCCCUGAGUCCUGCACACACAGGUCCUGACACACAGGUCCUGACACACAGGUCCCUGAGUCCUGCACACACAGGUCCUGACACACAGGUCCUGACACACAGGUCCCUGAGUCCUGCACACACAGGUCCCUGUUCCCUGCACACACAGGUCCCUGCAUCCUGCACACACAGGUCCUGACACACAGGUCCCUGUUCCCUGCACACACAGGUCCCUGUGUCCUGUUCCCUGCACACACAGGUCCUCCUGGGAUCCAAGGGCUCGGGGACAGUGAUGCCCUUGUGUUUGUUCAGUGUCAGUCCAGCUGCUAAACAGUGACAGGUUCAGGCACCUGAACCGCCGGCCAGUGCGGGCGGCAGAGGGAGAUGGCCAUGGUGUGACCCAGGCCUGAAUCACAAGGAAGGUGACAUUGGCAGGUGGAUCACGGGCUGACAGAGCCCUUGCAUGCCGAAUGUAAACAGAGGGCUGGUGCUGGACCUUGUCCAGUCACUGUCCCCGGGUGCAGGGAGCCCCUGCGAACAUCAUUCACACCAAAGAGAAACCGUCUGAGUCACUGGGGAAUCAUUUUUGACCCAGAAUUUUGGCUGGGAAGUCGUCUUCCUGAGCAAGCGGGGGAGAAGGAACGCACAGCUCAGGAGCUGAGGGGAGCAGUCGGAGAAGACGCACCCAGGAGCAGGGUCAGACCUGGGGCCUCUGGCCAGACCGGGGGGAGCCACACCCUGGCCGAUGGCCCCUGCGGCUCUUGGUGGGUGCAGAGCAGUUGUGACGGAGCAGGGUUCUGUCCAGCAGCCGGAGAGUCCCAGCCCUGCUGCAGCACGGGCCACUGAUGCACCCCCUGACUGGGCUGAGUGUGGGGGUGCACGGAGGUGAGACCAGGAGCCGACCUGGGCGUGUCGUGCGCGAAGGUCAGAGUGACGAGGCCUGGAGGGGGCCAGUGUGAGGCCAGCCCUCCCUGACCCCGGGGGACUGACUGAGGUAGCUGGAGUCUCUGCACCUGCUGAUGGCUGGGUGCUGGCUGCCGUCCCUUCCUGAAUGGCCCCAGCACCUCCUCCUUGUGCAGGUCCAUCCAGGGCAGGGCAGGCCGAGCUCGAGGGACAGCCUCCGGAGAGGUGGACGACCCUGAGGGGCCACACGUGCUGUUGCUGGGUGCGGCCGUGCGGGUCUCCUGUCAGCCGCACAGCAUGCCCCGCUUCUCGGACCAGCACCUGCAGGCGUGGGGGCACAGCACCGGGCCCUGCGCUCAGCCAGCAAAGAGGGGACACUGGCCUGCGGCUCUCCCACACUGGACCUCCCCAGUGAGGGGUGCCACUGCUGUCCUUGUCGUUUCUGUUAUUAUCACUUCCGCUACUGUCACUGUUUUCUCGGUCCUUCCAGACGGGCCACUGCCCUGGCAACACCUGCACGUGUUCUGUGGGGGGAGCCAGGGCCCUGGACCCUGUGCAAGGCGUCUGGGUACAGCGUGUGCGUGCCCGGCCCCCGGGAGUGUGCUGAGUCCCAGGAAGCAGCGCCGUGAACAGCGGGGGUCUGAGGCAGCAUCGCCUCAAUGUGGACUUGCACAGGGAACACAUCUCGGCCUGGCUCCUGAAAAAAGGCUCAAGACAUGGAAGGCAGGCACGUGCCGCCUCUGGAUACCACAGGAGAGGGCUCCUGCCCCAUGAGAGCCCGCGGGAGCCCGAGACUCCCUGCCCCAGACUCACCUCCGGCCCCUCUCAGAGCUUUGGGGUGGGCGCAGGGACUGGCGUGGCGCUGGUGAGCAGCUGCGGCCUGCACGUGGGUCGGCUCCAGCGUGUCGCAGGAGCAAGACGGAGAGGGGACACGCGGGCUCCGCAUGGCCAGGCCGCACCGGGGAGCCCUCAGACGGCUGGGGUCAGGGACGAAGACCCUCCCCCGUGACAGGUGCUGUGCCACCAACACCGUCUCCAGGUCCCCCUGCCAUUUAUUAGGCAUUUUAACAGGAACGGAGCAUUAACGGGGCCUUCAGAUGAGGAAGACAAUUGAAAAACCUCCAAGAAAGGAAAUAUCUUAUUAAUUCAUUAAGUCAAACUGCUUGUAUCUACACUUGUAUGACUAGAAUUAUGGUUCAUUAACUUCAUUUCUUUAUAUGAGUUAAUUAGCUCAGAGGAGGCCAGAAAUUAAUUACCAGCUUAUAUAGUUUGUGCAGAAUGGCAUUCUGUUUAUUUAGUUUCUCCUAUUAACUUUUAAUCUCUUCAAACAAUAAAAGAGGUAAUUAGUAUUUUAUAAACAAAAAUGCAUGCAACAAAGGCAAAUAAUUUGCCAAAUACUGAGGUUCCUGUGAGGGCCCCCGAGAGUGGGGUGGGUGAAGUCAGGGAGUUCUUGAGUGGGAACCAGGAGCGCCAGGGGUGGCGCGGGCGGUGGGCGCGAACGGACGGCUCCCGACGGCCCGCGUGGAGCAUAGCCGAGUCCUGCCGGCUGCACUCCCGGGAUGCACUUGCGGCAGGGUCGGCAGGACGCUGCUGCACACAAGCCGGGCUCCGUCACCGUCACCGCAGUGCCCGGCUGCCUCAGUGACCGGUGCGCGAGCGUUAGUUAACACCAGCGCCUGGUGCACGUUCUGCAGCAUCUAGAGAGGAAGGCAUGAGGGGAGGAACGCAGAUGGCUGUGGGUGAGCCACACCGGGUGUUUUACCAGCACCCAAAGCCCUGACGGAACCCAGCCAUCCUGCCGUCGUCACCGAAUCGCGUCUCAGGAAUUCAGCAUCGCAGUCUCCUUCCGAAGCUUCCAAGGAGAAGUGCACAGCGUGUGCACUUGGCUACUUCCUAGCCAGAUAUUUAAUGAAUUACAGGAGUUAUUUAAUCAAUGUAUUUUGUUAGCGUAACAUUAAUAUUAAUUAAAUGUUCAUUACAAAAAUUGGAUCCGUAACAGCCUCUAAGCACGGCCUCCAAGUGUGGUGCCGAAGCCCGCGCCCAGCGGGACGCAGCUCCCCACGAGGCUUUUCUCAGACGCGAAAUGCCCUGCAAGUCGCUCCCGCACACGCCAUUUCCCUCAGAGUAACAGCCGGGACGGCGUGGGCGGUCCCCCGGGCUGGCGACAGAGGCUCAGACAGGUGCAGGAAGAGCAGGGGCCCCCGUGCCAGCAGUGUCACGGAGGAGCCUCCGCCUACCUGCUCCUCCAGGAGGAGCCGGUGAAAGGGGCGUCCAACCUCGGGGACUACUGCCUGCCUCCUUUUC